rnacentral:misc_RNA from 1 species
AGAUGGUGAGCCAGACCAAUGCUUAAUAUGUGACAAACAGCUACAGACAUUGUUUUAUUGCAUGCAGACUAAGUGUGUAAUGUUAAACCAAGUAUUGACUGAGAUUGCAAUCUUUUAUAUUGAACAAAUUGUGACCAGUGCAGUAUGUAAACUAUUUAUUGAUCAUUCCAAUAGCAAUGACAUCUUUUAGGAUAGCUUUCUCCAAAAUCCAAUGUCAUUUUCAUAGAUGUCAUGAAUUGUGUUGCUUAUGAGUGGAACAUUUCAUAGUUUAUCGGAUAAGUAGAAAUUGAACACAAUGAUAAUGUGCAUUUUUUCAUGGUCAGAAAAUGUACUAAUCAUUAGUUAAUUAUGUAAGAUAGGGAUUAAAAACAUGUAUCAAAACCAAUAAACAUAUCCUCUAACUGUCGAAAAAUUAACCUCCUUCAACAAUUUUUUUAAUAAAUACAUCAUUUCAAAUCUCAUUCAUACCAAUCAUACAUGUACUUGUUGGGCAAAUAUAUACCAUGACGAUACUUAAAUUUCAUUAAUGUUUACAGUUCAUGUACUUGUAUGUUGUAAAUAGACUUUAUUACUAUAAAGAAAAAUUUAUUUAAUGGUUGAUGCUUAACAUGAUUCAAAUUUUAAACUAUAGGGAUUGUGCAAUACCAAAUACAUGUUAGUGUAAAUAUCUAUGCAUUUGUUGUUCACAAUCUUAACUUUCAAAUUAAAAAGCAUG